ACCAGGAGGAGGUUGGAUGGAUGGCGGACGUAGCGGCCCGACAUGGUUGUCGACGCGGCUUGGUUUGUGAAUUGGUGAGGGAGUCUGGGUCUGGAACACAUGCUGCUGUGGCCACGAGUGGCGGGAUUGGUGGCGGACUGGCCGUGGACCGGCCGGAGCGGGGCGCGUCCUGCACGGUGGUCCCGGAGGCUGUGGGAGACUUCCCAGUGGUGGGGAAGCAUCCUGAGAGGGAGGCGGACUGAAUGCGCCUGCAGGAGGCCCCCCACGAUUUUUGGCAUGUUGCGGAGCGGAAGGGAUGGGAGAGGUGAAUGUCGGAGGGCGGGGGUCUGCCGGAUUCCCUUCCGUGGCCGGCGGGGAGGGACGGAGGAGUUUUGCGUGGGAGCGGCGGCGGGGAACCUUGAGGAUGGGCUCGGGGAGCGUGGAAGGGAC
rnacentral:lncRNA from 1 species